AACGAACGCUGGCGGCAUGCCUAACACAUGCAAGUCGAACGAGACCUUCGGGUCUAGUGGCGCACGGGUGCGUAACGCGUGGGAACCUGCCCUUAGGUUCGGAAUAACUCCCCGAAAGGGGUGCUAAUACCGGAUAAUGUCUUCGGACCAAAGAUUUAUCGCCUUUGGAUGGGCCCGCGUUGGAUUAGCUAGUUGGUAGGGUAAAAGCCUACCAAGGCGACGAUCCAUAGCUGGUCUGAGAGGAUGAUCAGCCACACUGGGACUGAGACACGGCCCAGACUCCUACGGGGGGCAGCAGUGGGGAAUAUUGGACAAUGGGCGAAAGCCUGAUCCAGCAAUGCCGCGUGAGUGAUGAAGGCCUUAGGGUUGUAAAGCUCUUUUACCCGGGAUGAUAAUGACAGUACCGGGAGAAUAAGCUCCGGCUAACUCCG
rnacentral:rRNA from 1 species